ensembl:snoRNA small nucleolar RNA SNORA15
GCAUGGCAGAAUUCUGUAUUACUCUUGAAGUGGUAAAUGCAGUCAGACACCAUGCUACAUAAUAGACAAUACACAC